rnacentral:rRNA from 1 species
AUUCCAGCUCCAAUAGCGUAUGUUUAAGUUGCUGCAGUUAAAAAGCUCGUAGUUGGAUUUCGGGUGGGAAUGGCCGGUCCGCCGUUUCGGUGUGCACUUGCUAGUCCCACCUUGCUGCCGGGGACGUGCUCUUGGGUUUCGGCUCGGGACACGGAGUCGGCGAGGUUACUUUGAGUAAAUUAGAGUGUUCAAAGCAGGCCUACGCUCUGAAUACAUUAGCAUGGAAUAACACGAUAGGACUCUGGCCUAUCUUGUUGGUCUGUAGGACCGGAGUAAUGAUUAAGAGGGACAGUCGGGGGCAUUCGUAUUUCAUUGUCAGAGGUGAAAUUCUUGGAUUUAUGAAAGACGAACUACUGCGAAAACAUUUGCCAAGGAUGUUUUCAUUA